rnacentral:lncRNA from 1 species
CAGUAAAUCGCCAUUCUCUGUUGCAGUCCACUUUGUCUUCGGUUUAUGUGUCAAAAUCGCCAUAUUUAAUUCUCAGGAUCUCACCUUGGUUCUAAUAACCCUUCUUCGUUUAGGUGUCCUACUCUGAUACCAAUUGUAAAAUCGAGAUUCGGCGAAAACACAAGGUACAAAGUAGUUCCAAGAACACGUAUUUCUUUUGUUAGAAAUCUUUUACACAAUUUCUUAUAUAUUUGUUUGAUCAUAAUUACACAAUUCGACACAUAUCAAUUUUUCAUACACCUAACUUGCUUGACUCAACCUCUAAACCUCUAUUGGUCAAAUCUACCAAUUCACUCAGCUCAAUCCACUCAGCUAAAAAAUUCCAAAAUCUUAUGUACCUCUCUC